rnacentral:rRNA from 1 species
GACGAACGCUGGCGGCGUGCUUCAUACAUGCAAGUCGAACGAGAAGCUGACUUCGGUCAGUGGAAAGUGGCGGACGGGUGAGUAAUAUGUAGGAAAUCUGCCUUUAGGAGGGGGACAACAGAGGGAAACUUCUGCUAAUACCCCAUAUGAGCGUAGCUGAAAUGCUAUUCUUGAAAACUCCGGUGCCUAAAGAUGAGCCUGCAUCUGAUUAGCUAGUUGGUAGUGUAAUGGACUACCAAGGCGACGAUCAGUAGCUGGUUUGAGAGGAUGAUCAGCCACAAUGGGACUGAGACACGGCACAUACUCCUACGGGAGGCAGCAGUAGGGAAUUUUGAGCAAUGGGCGAAAGCCUGACGCAGCAACGCCGCGUGAACGAUUAAGCCCUUCGGGGUGUAAAGUUCUGUCAGUGGGGACGAAACUUGACGGUACCCACAGAGGAAGCACCGGCUAACUCCGUG